GCCUGUAGGGUAGUCUGGAUAUCCUGUGGGACUUCGGAUCCCACGACCUGGGUUCGAAUCCCGGCAGGU
rnacentral:tRNA from 1 species